UUUUUGGAUGGACCAUUUCUUAUGGAUGGAUCAAUUAAAAUAAAAGAUAAACUAUUUUUCAUGAACGGAGAAAAUAUGAUCAAUCGGGCAAAUAUAAGCUAAAUUGAAGUAGAACGAUAAAUUCAAUAAAAAAAUGAUUCUUUCUAUCUACUAGAAUGAUACCACUAUAUAAAAUUUACUAAGGCGAAGCAAUACACAGACUUUUCACACGCCAAUACCUGUUGUUGGAAUAAAUAGCAAAAAAAAUAAAAAUUGAUCAAAUCCUAUUUCAACAAUUACUCUUGAACACAAUGAACAUAAACACAUUAAAAUAAGGGCAAAUUGUUGGAAUAAACAUGAAUUUUGGUAAAUUCACAACUUCGAAAAUGAAUGACAAAAGUAUAAUUUUACCGAUCGGCGAUGUAGUCCAUGAGUGCAUCGUCGCCGAACUACUGGAUAGUGAGGUCGACCAACCGUCCUUGGCUACAAUCCGCUGCGCAGCGACACAUAGCAUUGUAUACGUCGUUGAAAAGCCCUUGCCUAGGGUUGGAGAUAUCGAUGACUCCCACAAGACAGGAUCCUUGGAAACUCUCAGCAUCUCCUCCGCCCCCAGCCUCUGCAGAAUAUUGGCCGUUACAUCACCAGGCAGUUCAAUCCACGGAGGCGGAGGAGAGACUGAGGCGAUGGAUUAAAGUUCCGAUUUUUGUGGUUUGAAUAGCCAAUAUACAAAGAUAUGUCGAAGAGAGGGAGACCUUUUAAGAGCCAACCCUCCCAAAAUGCAGGUGAGUAAUGGCUUGGUGUCCUGUUUUUUAUGCAGAAUAUCCUUAUUUUGCCUAUGUAUUUUUCGUUUGCUUAUACAUUUUGGUAGGCAGAGGUGUUCAUUAUGUUGGUUUUAAAACCUACAUGUAUCGUUUUCGUAGAAUUUUCUGUCCAACAUGGUUGUGGUGCUGUAAUUGCUUAAUUGAUGUUAUCUCAUGCGUACAUUGAUUGAUUUAGUACCUUUUAUAAGAGACAUUAUGUAUACCCUCUUAUACAUUAUUCAUAUAAUUCUUGUAAUAGAGUGGAUGUUGUAUUCAACUGGGCAUUAUUUGCUUCAUGUUGUACAUUAUUUAUUCAA